rnacentral:rRNA from 1 species
GACGAACGCUGGCGGCGUGCCUAAUACAUGCAAGUAGGACGCAGUUGCGAACGGGUGCGUAACGCGUAGGUAACUGCCUCUUCGAGGGGGAUAACUAUUGGAAACGAUAGCUAAUACCGCAUACUCGUAGAUGGACCUGCGUUGUAUUAGCUAGUAGGUAGGGUAAUGGCCUACCUAGGCGACGAUACCUAGCCGACCUGAGAGGGUGAUCGGCCACACUGGGUCUGAGAAACGGCCCAGACUCCGACGGGAGGCAGCCGUAGGGAAUCUUCGGCAAUGGGGUGAACCCGGACCGAGCAAAGCCGCGUGAGUGAAGAAGUUUUUCGGAUCGUAAAGCUCUGUUGUUAAGGAAGCGGUACUUAACCAGAAAGGGACGGCUAACUACGUGCCAGCCGCCGCGGUAAUUC